UACGGAGGGUGCAAGCGUUAUCCGGAUUCACUGGGUUUAAAGGGCGCGUAGGCGGGUAAGUAAGUCCGUGGUGAAAUCUCUGAGCUUAACUCAGAAACUGCCGUGGAUACUAUUUGCCUUGAAUAUUGUGGAGGUGAGCGGAAUAUGUCAUGUAGCGGUGAAAUGCUUAGAUAUGACAUAGAACACCAAUUGCGAAGGCAGCUCACUACACAAUCAUUGACGCUGAGGCACGAAAGCGUGGGGAUCAAACAGG
rnacentral:rRNA from 1 species